rnacentral:sRNA from 1 species
AUAUGCAUAUGCCAUUGAACAUCAUGCGCCAUCCAGAGCAAAAUGCAUUUCACGUAUGCCGCCGACGAAACGGCUUCGUGUGUGCACUAAUCCACUAACAACACAGGCAAUAGCUGAAAAAAACGCAAACAACAUCCCGAAUACCGUGUCGCACACAAGCUACGCCCAGUGUGAUCUAAGUAUUCCGCGAACAAAGUCGUCGACGUUAAUAAGCAAAUACGAAAAAGUGAUAACAUGUGAUAUGAAAAUAAUUAUUAGUAUUUAAUAAAAAAAUGAGUUUCUACCAUUGCAUAAAAAAUUUAAACAAUUAUGAAACAAUCAACGUUUUGUUAGUACAUAUGCAUGCACGAAUAUGAACAAUUAUAUUGUUGGAGCAGACAAAGAUGCCUAGUGAAAAUAUUUUUAUACAUGGUAAAUUUGGAAGAAAUUUAAUAUGCGUCAACUGCAGCGAUUUUGCAGAAAUUGGUUAUCAUCACUAUUGCUAAGUAGACAACAUACAGCAUUAGAGCUCGACUCGUACCGACAUUUUGUUUGUUGCAGGAACUUUUUAAAUUGAAAUGCAAACUACAUUUUGUGCAGCUAUGGAAUAUAUCAAUGCAGAUGUUUUCACAAAGGAUUUAUACUAAUAACUAUAGCCUGACGCACACCUUUUUUUAAUAAUUUUUCUCUGAAUCAAUAAAAUAUUGUGGAUAUAGCGUAACGGAACUUCUAUGAAAAUUAAUAUGGUGCUCUCCUCUUUGCUGAUUUUAUACAAUUUGGAAUAUCUCCAAAGCCACCGAGAACUUAAAGUGUGAAUGUUUUUAUUUGAAUUGUUAAUAUACA